AAAUUGAAGAGUUUGAUCAUGGCUCAGAUUGAACGCUGGCGGCAGGCCUAACACAUGCAAGUCGAACGGUAACAGGAAGCAGCUUGCUGUUUUGCUGACGAGUGGCGGUCGGGGGAGUAAUGUCUGGGGAACUGCCUGCAGGAGGGGGAUAACUACUGGAAACGGUAGCUAAGACCGCAUAACGUGGCAAGUCCAAAGAGGGUGACCUUAGUGCCUCUUGCCAUCUGUUGGGACAAGAUGGGAUUUGCUAUUAGGGGGGGUAACGGCUUAACUAAGUGAUGUCUCCUAGCUGGU
rnacentral:rRNA from 1 species